ensembl:lncRNA
AGACAGGAAGGCACCGGGCUCUAGCAGUGGGUCCCCAAUUUCGCUUGUGAGCUGCAUUCCACUGGCCACCCUGCCUUUCAUAGAGGUGAGGUAUUAAUAGUAGUUGAGGGAGACUUUAUGAGGGAGAUUGGAUUGGAGCUGAGCUUUGAAAGAUGAAUGAAAUCAUUUGGAGGAUUCAUCCACAAAAAACAGAGACUGGCCAACCCUGGUUUGCAGGGGUCUCACUCUGCCACCCAGGCUGGAGUGCAGUGGUGCAAUCACAGCUCGUUGCAGCUUUGACCUCCCAGGCUCAAGGGAUCCUCCUGCCUCAGCCUCCUGAGUCACUGGGACCACAGCCUCUCUCUCUCAUCGGAUGGUGAAGAUACUUCCCUAAAGCUCCCAUCCGACCACAUCGUUCCUCUGCUCAGAUCCUUUGAUGGAUGCUUGUAACAGGAAAGAUGGUUUCCAUUUAUUCACUAGGUGGAAGUCCAGGAAUGACGCUAGGUGCCUGGUGGAAAGAUAAAUGUCAAGGAGCCUGCAGGCCACUCAGCACCAAGGCAGGAAUGCACUAUGGAGGCAGGACCGUGUUGGGGAGCAGAGGCUGGAGAACAGCUCCGACUCCUCCCAGCACCGAUGCUGCCUUCCCAUGAGCACCUCUGGAUUCCUCCCAGCCCGGCCUCUGCUUUGACUGCAGGAUUUGCUCCGUCUCCUCUCCAAUGAUGCCUCCAUUUCGGCUCAGGGGGCCUGGAUCAUAGUCAAGAUUGCUAGAUACUUGUUACAUGAAUGAAUGAAGUCAUCCAGUACUCAUUGGCUCCACCGGGCUUCGACUUGCUGGACGUGGCAAGCCCACCAGGGAGUCCUGAAUAGCCCUCCUCUUUCCAAACAGCUGGGGAAGCUGGUUGCCCUGGAAACCUACUUUAGGUGGCAGCAUCUUCCUCCAGGAGGUGGAGGUGUCUCCUGGACCUUAGAGACUCCAGGACACAGGACAAAGAGCUCUGAACUGUGGAGCUGGGAAACCUGGUUCCAGCUCAGCCCAGAUUUACCGGCUGUGGACUUGGCCAAGUCGCUCACAAAACCCAAAGGAUGAGGCAGAGCUGGCCCUGCCUGCAUGGCAGGGAGCUUCUGAGAACCAUGAAGAGAGUCAGCAAGUGCCUGGGGAACGAAACCACCGAGCAGUGCAGGGCAUGGCUCUCCCACUUCUCCACUGGGGAAAAAAAUUCCAGACAAAGACAGUACAGAGAAUACUGUAGCCAAUACUGCAGCAGUUACCACCCGGAAAACCAGAUACUAAUACAAUAACUUGUGAUUUUUGCUUCAUAUCUCUGUGGCAUAAAACCAUGACACAUAAAGUUUAUGUCCCCCUUUAACCAUUCCUCAGUGCGAUUCCCCUCCUGUCUCCCUCUCCCCAACGGCAACCACUGAUAUGUUCGCUUUAUUCGAUGCUUUUCAUAUUUUAAAUAUGUUGUUUAUGGGAAUGAUCAUAAAUAAGAAAUACACUGUUUGUUUUAAACAUUUGCAUAAAUAAUAUCAAAGUAAAUUAUUUAAGUUUCCCCAGCAGUCCCUGCCCCCGUCCACCUUUCCCUCAGUUCUCUUCCAUUACAGUAAAGAAAACUGCCCAAACUCAGUCAGCACCCCUGGACUUUCGAAGUGGCUUCCUACUUGGGGCCCUGCUUCCAACAUUGGCCCUAUGAGUGACAAGGAUCUCAUUCUUUCUGUGCUCAAAGCUCUGGCCUCUUUCUCCCUCCCUGGUCUUGCCCAGCCCAGCUCCACCCUCUGUGCUCAGAACCUCACAUCAGUCGUUCCCCACCUGGGGUGCCCUUCCCUCUGACUGGCCCCUUGCCUCUCUCAGAUUUCUGCUCUAAUGACAGUAGCUGGAGAGGUCUUGCCCGAUGUCCUUUCCUCUUUCUCCUUACCUUGCGUUUUGGUUACGCAUCCUCCUCCUAAUGGCUUUAUUGAUUUAUGUGUUUAAUCACCAUCUUCUUACUUUUCUAAGGCUCGUCCUGAGUGUUUUCACAGCCUGGUAUGUGAGCCAGCAGUGAUUCUAUAGCUGGCAGCGGCCUGUGCACCAGAGCUGCAUGUAAAGGAGUCCGUGCAGAACCCUGGGAGAGCCCAGGGAGAAAGAAAAAUGAAGAGCUGGAAAGGGGACCAGAGCCUAUCAUUCCAACCUGCAGGUGCCUAAGGUCCAUCAGAAGGUUCACCAGGAAAGACCAAGAGAAUUGUAGUGACCCUCCCACAGUAUCAGUGGGAAGGGAAGUACAGCAGUGCAGACCAGCCCCGCAGGUGCUUAGCCAGGCCUUUGGUUCUGCUAGGGAAAGGAGGGUGCCUCCCACAGCAUGAAAACCACACCACGUCCCCAUGUGUCCGGGACCUGCUGCCAGCCACCUGCACAGAAGUCAGGUGGAUGCCACUGGGGUACAGCCCACACUGACUCCUGACCCCGGGGGGUACAGCCCACACUUGACUCCUGACCCCGGAGUGGGAGGGGCUGGCUCAAGAUGAAAUCUCGAAGGUGGGUCAGGCUAGGUCUUGGAGUCAGAGGAAGCGUGGGGUUCAGGCCAGGCCUGGGUUCUCCCUGAAGUGAGGCUGACUCUGAGCCUUUCUCGAAACCCCAAAUGUCACAGCAGUGCCCCAAAGGCAGGUGAGGCUCUGUUGCAGGGAAUGCUGAGGAAAAAGGGAACAUCAGGGAUUGGUCUGGCCUGAAGCUGCGCUCCCCUAAAUUAUACCCUGGUUUGAUUUGGGCUUGCCAUGGAGUUACCUCAACUAACUUGAGGUCCUCGGGGGAAACAGAGAUGGAGAGGUUGAUGUAUAUUUCAGGUUGAUUUGGGCUCUAAGGAUUAUCCCAGCUCAGACCUCGCUCUCAAGGAAUAGGAGCCUGGCAUUUGUCUAUCACUCUCUUGGCCCUGGGUAUGGUCUGGAUAAGCAGAGGCACACAUGUGGCCCUGAGAGUCCUAUCCUCUGGCUCUCUCCUCCCAAGACAUUCCGGAGCCAUGACAUGUCUCCCAGGAAGGGAGAAUUAUUUUUGUCUGUGGCAUAAAUAAAGCCAGGAAUGAGUUCCAAUAAUCACAAGCACAUGCCAGUGUGUGGAGGCUACUCUGACAGCAGCAGAAGGUUCCAGCACUGCCUGCCCUGCUGGUCCUGGCUGCAGGGAGGUGACCGGGAUGGUCAGGGGUCAGGAGCAGGAGGGAGCCUCCAGGAUUUUAUUUAAAAUGAUCAGGUUUUUCAAACAAAUGGAAAAAUAAAAAAAUCUUGAAAACAAAUCUUUAAAAAAUGUACCCACUUCACUCCAGAUCUUAAGAAAUAAAAAUAAAACAUGACUAUUCCUCUGAAACCUGACCCAUACCAUACCACUCUCUUCUCAGAGGUCAUUGCCAACAUCGAUUUGUGUUUAUUUUUCUCAUGCUUGCUUUAAUAUUUCUACUAUAUAUGUAUGCAUCUAUAAAUAAACUCUAUGCGACAUUGUUUUGUGUUUUAAAA